AGUCUUAACUGGGCGUUAAGUUGCAGGGUAUAGACCCGAAACCCGGUGAUCUAGCCAUGGGCUGGUUGAAGGUUGGGUAACACUAACUGGAGGACCGAACCGACUAAUGUUGAAAAAUUAGCGGAUGACUUGUGGCUGGGGGUGAAAGGCCAAUCAAACCGGGAGAUAGCUGGUUCUCCCCGAAAGCUAUUUAGGUAGCGCCUCGUGAACUCAUCUUCGGGGGUAGAGCACUGUUUCGGCUAGGGGGGCAUCCCGACUUACCAACCCGAUGCAAACUACGAAUACCGAUGAAUGUUAUCA
rnacentral:rRNA from 1 species